rnacentral:rRNA from 1 species
GCUAUACAUGCAGUCGACGGUAACAUGAGAGCUUGCUCUUGAUGACGAGUGGCGCACGGGUGCGUAACGCGUAUGCAACCUACCCUUUACUGGAGGAUAGCCCGAAGAAAUUCGGAUUAAUACUCCAUGGUAUCAUAAAGCAGCAUUGUUUAAUGAUUAAAGAUUUAUUGGUAAAGGAUGGGCAUGCGUGACAUUAGUUAGUUGGUGAGGUAACGGCUCACCAAGACGAUGAUGUCUAGGGGUUCUGAGAGGAUGAUCCCCCACACUGGUACUGAGACACGGACCAGACUCCUACGGGAGGCAGCAGUAGGGAAUAUUGGUCAAUGGGCGAGAGCCUGAACCAGCCAUGCCGCGUGUAGGAAGACGGCCUUCUGGGUUGUAAACUACUUUUAUAUAGGAACAAAAAGGUCAUGCGUGACAAACUGAGUGUACUAUAUGAAUAAGCACCGGCUAACUCCGUGCCAGCAGCCGCGGUAAUACGGAGGGUGCAAGCGUUGUCCGGAUUUAUUGGGUUUAAAGGGUGCGUAGGUGGCGUGUUAAGUCAGUGGUGAAAUCCUGCAGCUCAACUGUAGAGGUGCCAUUGAUACUGACAUGCUUGAGUAUGGACGAGGUAGGCGGAAUUUGUGGUGUAGCGGUGAAAUGCAUAGAUACCACAAAGAACACCGAUAGCGAAGGCAGCUUACUGGACCAUAACUGACACUGAGGCACGAAAGUGUGGGUAGCGAACAGGAUUAGAUACCCUGGUAGUCCACACCGUAAACGAUGCUCACUCGAUGUAUGCGAUACACUGUAUGCGUCC